UACGUAGGGUGCAAGCGUUGUCCGGAAUCAUUGGGCGUAAAGCGCACGUAGGCGGCCCGAUAAGUCGGAUGUGAAAUCCCUCGGCUUAACCGGGGAACUGCGUCUGAUACUGGAUGGCUGGAGUUUGGGAGAGGGAUGCGGAAUACCUGGUGUAGCGGUGGAAUGCGUAGAGAUCAGGUGGAACACCGAUGGCGAAGGCAGCAUCCUGGCCGGAGACUGACGCUGAGGCGCGAAAGCUGGGGGAGCGAACGGG
rnacentral:rRNA from 1 species